ACAUACGACCAUAGGGUGUGGAAAACAGGGCUUCCCGUCCGCUCAGCCGUACUUAAGCCACACGCCGGCCGGUUAGUAGUUGGGUGGUGGGUGGGUGACCACCAGCGAAUCCCCCAGCUGUUGUAUCUU
rnacentral:rRNA from 1 species